GGAGGACACGGGAUGGGAUAGGGCUUUUCCCCGGCAGCGGCAGCCAGAGCAUCCCUGAGCUGGACCACUCAGGCCGGACCCGCUGGGUAGGAGUUUGCUGGCGCCGGGAUAAAUCGCGACAGUGAGAACAGAUCCAAGAGAAAGGGGACCUUGAAGCUCCUCCACUUCCAACCCCCUGCCAUGGGUCCGGGCAGGUGGGAACUGCGUCACAUUUAUGUUGCCCGAUGAGGACCACAUGCUUGGCAAUGCUCUCCGAUAUGUGGUCAUGAAGAAGUAAGUGGAGUCUCCACAACACCUGAUACAACUGGGGGUUCCUCUGUCUCCUAUUCUGCCCAUCCCGUCACUACGUUGCACCUCAGUUGCUGCUGGAAAAAGGCAAAACUGCCUCUAUGCAUGCCUGUUGGAGUAUUUAUAUCAGAGCUGGUGCCAGAGGCUCCUUACCUACCCCCUCUCUUAAGAGGAUUAACUUUCUCCGUUAGCCCCGAGAGCACUAAUAGGCCUUGAUGAGUCUGAGCAGCCUCACCUGGGGCCCCUACAGAUAGGCUCAGGAGCCCCAUUUAAGCUUAGCUCAGGGCUUUCAGUCCUUCCUGAGCUAUGUUGUAUGAAUAUGGGUCUUCAGCUUAGCCUGUACUGGGCUGUUGGAUGCUGACCCAUGGACUGACUUCCUGACUCAACAUCAGCCUCUCCUCAUUGUUGUACAUUGUACAUCUGCUUGGUGGUCAUAGGUUUUGUCUGACCCUCAUUACCUUCAGCUGACCUGCAGGUUGUCUUCUUGGCCUGGCCUCAGACCUAUUUCACCCCCACAAACCUGCCUGGUGACCUGGACCCUUGGCUGGCCCUCGCUACCACCUUUGCACCCACCUUACUCCCUUGCUUGGAUGCUGUGGGACAGGGCUGGCCAGUGAGUUCUCUGCCCUAUUGGCUGGCUUACAGUUCAUGCUUCCAGCUCCCCAUCCCUUAAGGAACAGCGAACCCUACUGUGCUUAUGUUUAGUUACAGAGGAAAUUGAAUGGCAGACAUGUGACAGACUUCUGAAUGUUUUACAUGGCUCUGGGUAAAAUGAUGUGCAACUCUGCAAGUACAGGUGGUCGGGCAGUAUCUGUGUCACUUCUGGGGCAAGUGCUGUCAGAAAAGAGUAGGAACAGCCAAUAUUAAGCAAAUUGAUCAUCUUUGAUACUUCCAUCAAGAUGCAGGAAUUGAUGCUGGAAAUUAAUAAUCCUACUGCCCCCAUUAAAAUAUACAAAUGGCUUCACUCUGAUUUUAUCGAGCUGGGAGGCACUGGGAGUUUGUGAAGACUCACUGGUAAGGCUCAGAAGAAUUCCAGCAGGAAGUUCAAUUCAUCAUCUCAAAUGACAGCUGCAUUGCAAAUGUCAUGUGAAUUCCUCUGAUAGAUCACCAUGACAAGAAAAAGAGCCGCCUUCUUGUGAGGGGCUGUGCUUUCUGCUGUGUGCACAAAUGUGCUACCAACCAUCUCGGCUUGUGAAGACAGAUGUUGUGCAGUCUGCAAACGUUUUGUGGUGCCCUAGACCCAUCUGCCUCCUCUGCCCAGCAGAACUGCAACAGAGGAGCAUGAAGGAGUACAGGGCCCAGAGGGAGGAAGAGAUCCAGUAGCAUUUAGGGAUGGCAGUCUCCAUGGACAUGUGUAAGCCUGGGAACAACACUGAUAACACGGAU